UACGUAGGGAGCAAGCGUUGUUCGGAUUUACUGGGCGUAAAGGGCGCGUAGGCGGCAAUUCACGUCAUCUGUGAAAUCUCCGGGCUUAACCCGGAACGGUCAGAUGAUACUGCUUUGCUAGAGUGCGGAAGGGGCAAUCGGAAUUCUUGGUGUAGCGGUGAAAUGCGUAGAUAUCAAGAGGAACACCUGAGGUGAAGACGGGUUGCUGGGCCGACACUGACGCUGAUAGCGCGAAAGCCAGGGGAGCAAACGGG
rnacentral:rRNA from 1 species